rnacentral:rRNA from 1 species
AACGAACGCUGGCGGCAUGCCUAACACAUGCAAGUCGAACGAGACCUUCGGGUCUAGUGGCGCACGGGUGCGUAACGCGUGGGAAUCUACCCUUGGGUUCGGAAUAACAGUUAGAAAUGACUGCUAAUACCGGAUGAUGACGUAAGUCCAAAGAUUUAUCGCCCAAGGAUGAGCCCGCGUAAGAUUAGCUUGUUGGUGGGGUAAUGGCCUACCAAGGCGACGAUCUUUAGCUGGUCUGAGAGGAUGAUCAGCCACACUGGGACUGAGACACGGCCCAGACUCCUACGGGAGGCAGAAGUGGGGAAUAUUGGACAAUGGGCGAAAGCCUGAUCCAGCGAUGCCGCGUGAGUGAUGAAGGCCUUAGGGUUGUAAAGCUCUUUUACCAGGGAUGAUAAUGACAGUACCUGGAGAAUAAGCUCCGGCUAACUCCGUGCCAGCAGCCGCAGUAA